rnacentral:rRNA from 1 species
UGAGUAGCACGUAUCCGAACCUGCCGCUUACUCGGGGAUAGCCUUUCGAAAGAAAGAUUAAUACCCGAUGGUAUAAAGAGUUCGCAUGUGCUCUUUAUUAAAGAAUUUCGGUAAGCGAUGGGGAUGCGUUCCAUUAGAUAGUUGGCGGGGUAACGGCCCACCAAGUCUACGAUGGAUAGGGGUUCUGAGAGGAAGGUCCCCCACAUUGGAACUGAGACACGGUCCAAACUCCUACGGGAGGCAGCAGUGAGGUAAUAUUGGUCAAUGGACGAGAGUCUGAACCAGCCAAAAGUAGCGUGAAGGAUGACUGCCCUUAUGGGUUGUAAACUUCUUUUAUAAGGGAAUAAAGUGAGGGACGUGUCCCUUUUUGUAUGUACCUUAUGAAUAAGGACUCGGCUAACUCCGUGCCAGCCGCCGC